AGGACGAACGCUGGCGGCGUGCUUAACACAUGCAAGUCGAGCGGAAAGGCCCUUCGGGGUACUCGAGCGGCGAACGGGUGAGUAACACGUGAGUAAUCUGCCCAUCGCUUCAGGAUAGCCAUCGGAAACGGUGAUUAAUACUGGAUAUGACAUUCCUUCGCAUGUUGGGGUGUGGAAAGUUUUUUCGGCGGUGGAUGUGCUCGCGGCCUAUCAGCUUGUUGGUGGGGUAAUGGCCUACCAAGGCUUUGACGGGUAGCCGGCCUGAGAGGGUGACCGGCCACACUGGGACUGAGACACGGCCCAGACUCCUACGGGAGCAGCAGUGGGGAAUAUUGGACAAGUGGGCGAAGCCUG
rnacentral:rRNA from 1 species